CCCGCCACUGUGCCUGUCGUGUCACGCGUUGACUGGUACGGCCCAGAGGUGAGCUGACAGCAAAUGCCAACUUAGGAAACAGAGUUAUUCUUCUUGUGGGUAACUUUGUGCCGAAGUCUGGGGACAGGC
rnacentral:snoRNA from 1 species